rnacentral:rRNA from 1 species
GAUGAACGCUGGCGGCGUGCCUAACACAUGCAAGUCGAGCGAUUCUCUUCGGAGAAGAGCGGCGGACGGGUGAGUAACGCGUGGGUAACCUGCCCUGUACACACGGAUAACAUACCGAAAGGUAUGCUAAUACGAGAUAAUAUGCUUUUGUCGCAUGGUAGAAGUAUCAAAGCUCCGGCGGUACAGGAUGGACCCGCGUCUGAUUAGCUAGUUGGUAAGGUAACGGCUUACCAAGGCGACGAUCAGUAGCCGACCUGAGAGGGUGAUCGGCCACAUUGGAACUGAGACACGGUCCAAACUCCUACGGGAGGCAGCAGUGGGGAAUAUUGCACAAUGGGCGAAAGCCUGAUGCAGCAACGCCGCGUGAAGGAUGAAGGUUUUCGGAUCGUAAACUUCUUUGAUGAGGGACGAAUAAUGACGGUACCUCAAGAACAAGCCAACGGCUAACUACGUGCCAGCAGCCGCGGUAAAGUCACGUCG